UACGUAGGGUGCGAGCGUUAAUCGGAAUUACUGGGCGUAAAGCGUGCGCAGGCGGCUUCGCAAGUCAGGCGUGAAAUCCCCGGGCUUAACCUGGGAACUGCAUUGGUGACUGGCAGGCUUUGAGUGUGGCAGAGGGAGGUAGAAUUCCACGUGUAGCAGUGAAAUGCGUAGAGAUGUGGAGGAAUACCGAUUGCGAAGGCAGCCUCCUGGGCCAACACUGACGCUCAGGCACGAAAGCGUGGGGAGCAAACAGG
rnacentral:rRNA from 1 species